UCAACCAACUAAUUAACCCACAAGCACCAGAUCCCAUCUGAUCUUGAUAGCUAAGCAGGUCAGCCCUUGUUAGUAUUUAAAUGGGAGACAGGCAGCAAACACCAGCAGCUGUGUAGGC
rnacentral:rRNA from 11 species